CUGGAAGACAAUAUCAAAGAAAUCGAUUUGUAGAUAAAGCAACAUUUCACAGCAACCGAUCCAUAACAGAAGCCAAAAAUCUCAUAAUUCGAACUGCAGACGAAGCCUAAAUUUGCUUCAAUUGAAGAGUUUCAAUUAGGUUUGGGCCAACUAAACAUAUGCAACAAAGGGAGGGAAUGAAUAAUUUUAGGGAUAAAAUUUUUGGAGGCAUAGAAAUCGUGGACGACAGGCAAAAUUUAAGAGAGGGAAUGAAAAAAUUUGGGGAAAACCUUGGAGCCAGAGAGUAGUGGUAACUUACGUAAUUUGAGGAAUUUUUAAUUUUGGAACAAAAAAAAAAAGGUGUUCUCUCUUUUUAUUUUUACUUAUGUUUUUAAGUUCAAAUAUACAUUUUGUGGGGAAUAAAAUUAAAAAUUGUAGUUGAAAAUUUUCCUUGAAUAUUAGCCUACAAAUAUGUUUGACAUUUUUUGUCGUCAAAAGAUAGAUUUUUCCAGUCAUAUUUUUUGUCAGGAAGAAAAAACAUUUUUGUGGGCACAAGUCUUUCUAGUAUUGAAAAAUUUGAAAUCAUAGCUUACAAAACAUCGAUUUUGUGGGGAAAAGUGAACUUUGACUACAAAUUUCAAUUUGUCAAUGAAAAUUUUGUAGGUAAAGGAUAGAUUUCUUGUAGUGUUACUUCCUCACACACCAUUCCUGAAAAUCAAGCAUUUGAUUUCAGGGACGGAGCCAAGAGAGUAGAGGUGUGGGGGGAAAAAUAAAAAAUUUCAAGAUUUUUAUUUAUUUAUUUUUCUUUGGAACAUCUUGUGUAAAAUUUUGAAAAAUCUAUUGCAAAAUCUUGGUUUUCAAAUUUAGUGUGAAUGCUUCUGAGUAUGUUAUUGAUUAGAUAAGGCAUUGAUUCAGAAAAGUUGGCAUGCGUGCCACGAUGGGUGAAGGUAGUUUGUUGAAUUUUAACUUCUCCCUCCUCGUUCUAUAAAUUGGUACAUUCACCUCCAACCUUCCAUCUUCAUUGACAACAGAAAACUUUGUAGGAAAUACGCUACAGUCAAACACAAAUUAGAGCAUCUUUGACCGAAUGGAAAAAACGAACUUACAAUUGAGGGUCUCGCAGCCUAUAAAACUGAUACAAAUUUAUAAAUACUUUAUAAAUUCAGUCAAAAUUAAACAUUAAUUUUAAAAGGAUUUACUUGUACAUAAAACACGUGCAUAAAGAAUUACAUAAAAUGAUGUAGAGGGAAAAGAUUGGAUGAAAAAGUUGAUUGCGUUUUAAACUGGUAAAUGAUAACGUGACAUGUGACAUUAUGUAACACAUUAUGUAAAUCUUGAUGUAUGUGUAGCAAAAUCCAUUUCAAAAAUAUAUUUAUAACCACUUCUUAUCAUUAUCCACACCUUUCGUGAUAUCGAUCACUAUUCCUCUUUAUAAAUCAUUUAUAAAUUUGUCGAAGGAGACUACCAUGGAAAUCUCUAAUAGAAUUACUUGGUUCUUUUGUUGGCGUGUAAUCUAAACCUAAAUCAGUUGACACUAAAAAAAGAAAUACAUAAACUUUUUUUCCAUUGUUUUUCAAGUUUUCAUGGGAAUGACUCGAAAAAAUAGCCUAUCUUCAUUCUCAUUGAAGCACAUUACAUCCACAUUUCACAAAUUAUAUCUUCUCAUAUUAAUGGGAUCUCCAAUCACGUGUCCUCCAUAGCUAAACACAGAAAUCCAAUUGUUAGCCGUGUAAAAUCAGUCUCAUUUUGACAAAACAAAAAAGAACAGAAAUUUGCCUUGUCGAAUGUUUUGGUUUUGAUCCUCCAAAAUUCAGUUUCGAGAAAAUUAAUAAUGUCUACAUUCACAGGCACUUUGGAUAAAUGCAAGGGUUGUGACAAGACUGUUUAUUUUGUUGAUUUGUUGUCUGCUGAUGGAACAACUUAUCAUAAAUCAUGCUUCAAAUGCUGCCAUUGCAAAGGAACUCUCGUGGUAUAUAUGUAUAUAUAUAUAUAUUCUCUCUUCACCCCAUUAUUUUAACAAUGAUCGUCAUGUAACAUUUUUUUUGUUUGUAGUUUAUAUGAUUUUCACUCAAUUAAAUUUUCGAAAACUUUUGUUUACAUUAGUGCUAUGUAAGUUUUAAUGGGAGGUAGCUUUCUAUACAAUAUUUCAUCAGCUUUUGAAAAUCAUUUUAGCAAAAUAAUUUUAAAAAUUGACGUAAUUGCAUUUCAUAUAGCUAUAAAUGUGUUAAUUUUUUAUACGCCGGGUUUAAAGAGAAGUCAUUUUUAACUAUGGAAUCGUCAUAUAAAAUGUCUACAAAUGUUAUUUUUGUAUUUGAGUCUUUCAGUUAAUUAUAUUAUAAAAAUUUAUGAGGUCUUUUAGUUUCAUCUCGAGUCAUUUAUUGUUCUUAAUACGUAGUUUUGUGAUUUUCCCUUCGUUAACUUUUUUCUUUUUCCCCAAAAAAUAACAGGAUAAACUUAAGUCAAAGCAAAUAGUGAAAUUUAUCAAAAUGUUGUUAUUGUUUUUAUUUCACAAAUCCAAGUCAUUUUGGGUGUGUAAUAUUCAUUUUGCAGAUGAGCAACUACUCCUCCAUGGAUGGAGUCCUAUAUUGCAAGCCACAUUUUGAACAACUUUUCAAGGAGUCUGGAAAUUUUAGCAAAAAUUUUCAAACUUGUGAGAAACCCUAAUAAUCACUAAAUUAUGUAGAACUUUCUUACUAUUAAUUUUACUAUUUUUGCUAAUUAUUCUUUUUUGUUGUUGGACUAUUGUUUAAGCAGCAAAGCAUGAGAGGGAAAAUUCACUGGUACGCUCAUGAAUUAAUUUCUAUUGAAAAUGGUUUGAUGACUAUUUCAAAACUUAAUUUUCAAGUUUAACUUAUUGGAAAAUCCUUUUUAUUUUUUUUUGAGUGUCAACUAAUCCAAACCUUGUUUUACCUCUUGUUUAUAAUCAGUGAAAUCAUUUUUUAUUCACAUAUUUCGUGAAUUCAUAAGUAUUACUCACUAAUUUACCACUAAUUUUUAUUUUUAAUUUAAAAUGACUACAAACAAUUUUUAAAUAUUAUUUCAUCUUUGACAAAAUAGGUUUACACUACUUAGUAUAUGCACUUGGCAAAUAAAGUCAACCUAAUUUCUUCUUCUUCCUUUUUUUUUUUUUUGUUUUUUUUUUUGUUUUUGGUAUUAUUCGUUAUUUAUGCAGACAAGGGCGCCGAGCAAGGUCUCGACCAUGUUCUCUGGAACCCAAGACAAAUGUGCUUCUUGUAACAAAAUUGUGUACCCACUUGAGAAGGUUUGUGACAUUGAUCAUGUACUCAAGAUACAUAUAUCUUAAGCUAUUAAAUAAAAUGAUUAGUCUGCCAUUAUAUAUAGCUUGUAACAUACGCAUUCACCUCCACGAAUAAAUACUCAUAAAAUUGAUAACGAUAAAUUCCUUCAUCUGCAAACUGUAUUUUCUAUCCAUUUUUUUCUUGAAUUUGCACAUACCAAACAGAUGACAAUGGAGGGAGAAUCAUACCACAAGUCAUGCUUCAAGUGUGCCCAUGGUGGCUGUCCACUCACACAUUCAUCAUAUGCUGCUCUUGAUGGAAUUCUAUACUGCAAGCACCAUUUCCAGCAGCUCUUCAUGGAGAAAGGAAACUACCAGCAUAUUAAAUCUGCUCACAAGAGAAGUGGCAGUAAUGUGGAAGCUGUCGAUGCUGACGCUGAGUCAGGGGCAGAGGCCGGGGAGGAGGAGCUGCCAAAGGAGGUUGUGGCAGACACUGAACCAGAGGAAGCUGAUAAAGUAGAAGAACAUUCCUAAGUGCAUGUUUGGUACAUUUCUAAGUGUAUGUUUGGUAGACAAUACUAGGUAGGACAAAGACACAAUAAUAAAUAAGGUGUUAUCUUAUUUUGUUCCUUAAUUUUGUCACUACUGUUAAAUCCUCUGUACCGAACAUGUCAUAAGCACACACGCUAAUAUAUAUAUCAGUUUAGGGUUUCUUACUUUGUUUAUGAGUUUAGAUGAAUUCUAGUGAUUUUUUAAGCUUGUUAAAAAUGUGGUGUAAUUUUGUCUAAACAAAAUAUAUAUUCUGAAACCGUAGGGAAACUAUAGUCCUCAAAAAAUUGAACUGGGCCAUAAGUAUUGUAUUUUGCAAAGCCUGAAACUUCAACUGAGAAUAAAUGAAAGACAAAAUAAAAAUAAAAAAUUUCCUUCAACUAGUCCUCCUAAAGUGCCCCGUCUCAAGGGGAGGGGAGUGGCUGGGGCAACACAGAGCCGGCAGGCCCUGGGAAUCAUGUACUUUUUAGGGUUCAUUGUGGUCAAAAGUAUUAGAACCUUAAAAGGUUAAGAAUUUAGAUGCUAUAAAUGGAAGUUGGAGACCAACUUGAUGCGAUUCUCCUAAAUUGAAAACUUUCUAGAAUUAUUGAUAAAUAUUAACUUAAUUAUACGCUAAUAUUUGCAUGCAAUUGUCUAAAUACUUAUUAAAAGAUUAGGUAGACGUGUAUAGUGGCUCAAUUUUUCUCAAGCUAAAUAGUCAGUUUAGAGUCUAAAAAUUUGAUUAUUGAGCCUUUGGAGAUUGUUUGCCGAAAUGUCACUAAAAACGCAUUGGUAUGCGUAAAGUCAUCAAAUCUAGAUUGUACGUAACCCUCCAUAGAGAAAAAAACAAGUCCAUUAUAAGAAUUUGAGACGUGAAAUAUACAAUACAUACCAACCUUAUAAUACAAGGUCGUGCACAUGAAAAAAAACCGAGUGCACAAACACACAAAAAUACUUUUGUUUGAGAUUAAUUUAAUUAGUUUAAAUUUGCAAUGCAACAUCAAAAUGGAACAACAAACAAUGAUUUCAAACUCCAGUUUUGAUAAUAUCACAAAUAAAUCUCAAACUAACAUGUCCUUCAAUGGAUUUAAGAAGAAAAUCCAUUACCAAUAUCAUGAAUACAUAAAUCUUUAUUCAAUUCAAACCCCAUACAUUUACUUGAGAAAUAUAACAUUUGAAAGGACCAAACUAUUAGAAGUUCGAUACAUUCUGCCGGUAAAAGAACAGUCCAGAUGGGGGCGUGGCCAUCCCAUCCGGCAGCAUUGCCAGCUUCAACAAACUAUCUGCACCCUCUUCAACAGUCAAUGAACCAGUAUUGGCAUUUAUAUCAGUUUUCACAUAUCCAGGACACACGCAGUUGAUGUAGAAAUUAGGGUAUUUUUUGGCAAUAAUUCUUGUAUAGGCAUUAAUGGCAGACUUCGACAAUCUGUAUGCAGGUACAUGUUCCGGCCAGCCAUUGACUUUCAAUGAGUUUUCUUUGAAGUCUUGAAGAAACUUGUUGAGCACAUUAUCUACUUUAUCUUCUGUGAGUUCUUCUGCAUUGCUUAGCACUUGUUUUGCCCAUUCAUUGGACUGAAACUGGAUGUGGGAUCAUGAGAAAUAGCAUAUGUCAGGUUCUUGAAGAGUUGUGUUCUGUUCCAAAAUUCAAGUUUUUAUAAUCCCCUAAAUUAUCUUAGGUUGGCUCACCCUUAAUUACUAAAAGUAAGGUCACUUUAUACAAAAUUUUUAAAAACGCGGUUCUUUUUAAUUUUCUUCACUAUUUUGGUCAUCCGAAAUUCUUUUUCCACAGAAGUAAAUAACUUUUACCUUCAAUAUACCCAUGAGAGAAGACACAUUCACAAUCCUUGGCGUAUCAGACAACCUUAAGAGUGGAAUAAAUGCUUCAAUCAUUCUCUUUGUACCAUAAUAGUUAGUUUGCAAACAUUGUUCUGCCCAUUCAUAUGUCUGAACAAGUUUUCCAUUUGCUGCGAUAUGAGCUUCUUGUGGCUGCAUUAUUGAAGAAAGAAAAUCUGUUAUUGAAAUGAUCCUGCCUUUAAGUUCUAUAAAUUAGUGGUCGACUGCAUAAAUCUCUCUUCACUACUGCGUAAACUACUCAAAGAUCCAAAUGGACUGUACCUUUUAAAACUACAAUGAUCAUGUUAGUUUUGGUUUACCAUUUCCUCUUUUAACCUAUUGUAUUGAUAGCAGCAUAAGAGCCUAUUUAGGUAUAUACAAGACACAUCUCAAACACAUAAUUUGUCAAUUUCUUAACCUGUUAUUCUGUGUAAUAUCAUAACUUUUCUUUAAUUUUACAAAGCAAAUAAAAAAAACAAAAAAUGUCCCGACUGCUUUAGUCUACUAUUUCUUAUCUUAUCUAUUUUACCAUGAUCACACAUGCAUCCAUUAUAACAUCCUCAUUUAGUCAUUUACUUCCUCCAAACAUUCUAGUUUCUAUGAAAACAUGUUAACAUUUUGAAUCAAAAAACUCAAUAGGAAUAACAAUUGAAGUGAUUUCCAUAUUCUAUGAAAAGGUGAUAUAUCUCCCUGCAUACAGACUUUUUCAUGUACGAACAAUUAACUUGUUCGGUAGACUGACUUUAUAGCACUCAACAAUAUAAAGAAAUAGAAAGAAGUUAAAAAUUUCGUCAAUUAUAAUGUCUGAUCGUCUUGUAUUAUGUUUGUCUUAAAGUGUCAUUAGCAGUAAACAUUUUAUUCACAACUAAUAGUAUUCAAUUUCACCUGAAGUUUUCAGUUGAGUGAUGAAAUAAAUAUAGUACAAAGAGUCAAAGACCAACCUUGGUGUCAUCAGGAAUUGAAACUACAUCUGCCUCAAUUAUAUCUUUAAUAACUAAGACAUCUCCCUCUAUACUUACUCCAAUCAUACCAGCAUUAUUCACCUGCAAAAUUUUCAGAUUUUUUAAAAUAACGGUUCAUAAUAAAAAAACUAAUUGUAGGAACAGGCUUUAACUAUCUCAUCUAAAAAUUGAUUAAUAUCAAGUGAGGUGAAGCUAAACCUUUUAUGGCAUUCGGUGAUCAUCAUUUGAGUGAUCAAGUCCACGAGCUUAAAAGCAGCAUUAUUGCUUCCCCACAUUAAUUAAUAAAGAAAGAUGAACAAUUCUUAAUUUUAUAAUAUGAGAAAAAAUCUCAACUAUGUUGAAAUGUAGUUCAGAGUGAACUAUUCUACUACUUAGCUACUCAGGAACAGUAGGUGAUUUCUUAAGCAUGCAUUGGAUCCACAUUGGUUGCAUAAUGAAUAGCUAGAAGUGUUAAAUGAGCUGACUUUGUAGAGGCCCAGCCCGGCCCCUAUUUUAUGGCAGCCAAUUUUGUCCAAAAAAUCGAGGUCAGGAGAUUUUUUCUUUCUUUUUUCUACCAUAAUAUGGGAUGUAACUAAGCUUGUUAUAUAAAAUUUCGCUACUUUUUUGAGGUUGGCUAGAUGAAAACUUUUUUGCUCCUCCAUAUCUUCUCGAAGUCUAAAAACAACAAGUAUAGCCACUUCCGCAGGCUAUGUUACUUUUAAUCUACCUGUCCCUAUUUUGACGUUUUCCCCGAAAUUCUAUCAUCCUUAUAGAAUAGAUUAACCAAUAAACACAAAAAAAUUGGGCCAAAAAAAAUAAAAAAGGACAAAAUUUAGAAAAUAAAAAACAUUGAAAAAAGAAGAAAAAUUCAUACCAAAAUAUCAAGCUUCCCAUAAAUGUUUUUGAUGAAAUUGGCAAGGGAAGCAAUACUAGUUGGAUCCAUUACAUCAAGUUGAUGAAACACAACAUUUUCAGAGAGAGCAAAGCCUUUGAGCUUUUCUAGAGCUUCAUUGCCUCUCUUCUCAUCUCUGGCUGUCAAAACCACAAUGACUCCUUUACAUGCCAACUGCCUACAUAGCUCAAACCCUAUUCCUUUAUUUGCCCCUGUCACAACUGCAUACCUAGAUAAAUAAAAAGAUGAAAACGGUAAGGGCUUGUUAGAUGAACAAUAUCAAGUAUAUCAAAUAAGAUUAGACAAUACGAUAGACAUGAUUUUUUUUAUUUUUUUCCCUUAAUACUAUCUAAUCUUGUUUGGUACUAGGAAUGUCAACGAGUUGAAUCAAACCAACUUGUGAAUCGAAGUAAAAUUAAGACGGAUUUUUUUUGUCCAAGUUGAGCAAAAGCUCGACGAAAAACUCGAGGCUCGACUGAGCUUUCGGCUCGGGCCUUACCGAGUCGAGUAGGCUCAAUUUUUUUUAUAUGACUGGCAACACAUAUUGCCUUUUUAAAGGCACCUCUCUAUUGCCUUUUUUUUUUUAACGAGCCAGCUCGGGGCUCAGCUCGAUACCCAAAAUGAGGGCUCAGGUUGAGCCUCGAGUUGGGCUAGAUCAGGCUUUUUCCCAAUCGAGCCAUGGGCAGCCUGAGCCGCGAGAGCUAAAUUGCCAUCUCUAUCUGGUACUGAGUAUCAAAAUUGCCACACAACCAUUUGGGUAUGAACUCAUUAGUAUUUAUGUUGGGAUGGAAUCUCCAAGAAAGUUACCAAGAUCAAUGGAGCGAGCUCAAGCAAUUUGGGUACUGUAGGAAAAACUCUUACAAUAACUGUUCUAUUAGUUAGUAGAAAGAGGGGAAAAUGUUCUAAAAUUGUGGCCUUGUAUAAAUAUAGGACCUUAGGCAAUGUCUCACCUGCCUAAGGGUUGAGCCCAGAGCCGGUCUUGUGCCGAGGCUAACGAGGCUGCGCUUCAGGCCCAGAAUUCGAAGGGGCCUCAUUUUGGCCAGAGAAGCUUAAUAUUACUCUCUCUUUUAUAUAUAUAUAUAUAUAUAUAUACACACACACACACACACAAACAAAAGACAAGUCACUCCUACCUACUCCACUUCAAAAAUUAUACUGCCAAUUUAACUUUGAACUGCGGUCCAUAAACAUGUUUUUAAUCAAAUGCUUCAUUUUCCAUAAUGGAGACAAGAACUUCAUUGUAAGAUUCUUAUUUUUUAAUUAAAAUUAUAAGAUUAUUAAUUUAUUUUGAAUAUAUUGAGACCAUUAUUGGUGAACAGGAUUUGACAUUUUUUUAACUUUUUUGAAGGAUUUAACAAGAUACGGUCUUACCAUAAUGUUUAAUGUAUAUUAAGUCUUCAUUGCAUACAUUGUAUGAAGUCUUCCAUCAACAUUGUAAAUUUUGCACACGUUUGGUGUAUCUAAAAAAGUUAAUAAAAAUUAACAAUUUAUUUUAACUAUAUAUUCAUGAGACCCGUAGUUUUUAUCAACUUUUCAACCACAUAUUUAGUCAAGUUUUAUCAAAAUCUAAAUUUAGUUUAAGUCAGUGGCUCCUAAUUCGUCUUUUACAGAUACGAAUCACUAAAUCAGAGUUUAGUGUGUCCAGACUCAUAAAAAAAAAUUAGUCAGUUCUUACUUUUCCGCCUUACUAAGAAUUCAUACCAAAAUAUCAAGCUUCCUAUAAAUGUUUGUUAUGAAAUUGGCAAGGGAAGCAAUACUAGUUGGAUCCAUCACAUCAAGUUGAUGAAACACAACAUUCUCAGAGAGACCAAAGCCUUUGAGCUUUUCUAAAUCUUCAUUUCCUCUCUUGUCAUCUAUGUAUUCAGUAGUACUGCUGUUGGGACAAAAUCUCCAAGAAAGGUACCAAGAUCAACGGAGUGAGAUCAAGCAAUUUGGGUACUUGGGAAAAAAACUCUGAUGAUACCUUUCUAUUAAUAAGUAGAAAGUGUAAAGAAAUAAAACUAGUAUCAAAGCCUCUAAAAUUUGUGGCCUUAUAUAAUAUAGGAUUUGAGGCAAUGUCUCACCUGCCUAAGGGUUGAGCCACCUUUAAAUCAGGAUGUGAAGAUGAGUUCAAGAAAACAAAGGGUUCGCAGCCUAAACUUUCGACAUCAUGGAUAAUUUUCUUUUCUAAUACAUGGAUUUUAUUUUCAUUAAUCCAUAUAUACUUGGAACAAUGAAAUACUAUUACUUCUCCUCCAAGAGGUAAAUGAUUGAUUACAAAUGUCUAUUAUAUAUCUUCUCUAUAGAGAGAACAAAAUUGGAGUGCAUACCAAUACCUAAUAUGGGCAAAAAAAUAGAUCAGAAGAAGUAACUCUCAGAUCAAUAAUAAUAAUAAUAAUAAUAAUAAUAAUAAUAAUAAUAAUAAUAAAGGAUUUUGGAGUGGUUUGACUGACCAAACUACGGUGGAAUAUUUUCAAGAUGUUAAUGAAUAAAACAUAUUUCUAUUUAUCGACAACAUCUUCCAGUUCAUAGCUACAUCAGGCUUAGUAACUUGAUUGAAAGCAAGUUAAUUUACCUGUUUGACGACUGAUUGUUCAUUGUUUCUGCACUUUCACUCCUCUUCUGCUCAGUUUGAAGAUUAGUACUAAAUAUAUAUUAAUAUAGACAAAAGGCAAGUAACUUCCACCUAGCUACUCCAUUUCAAACAUAUACUGCCAAAUCAACUUUUAGUUGUGGUCCAUAAACGUGUUUCUACUCAAGCGUUUUUAUAAGACCAUUAUUGGUGCACGGUAUUUGACAUUUUUUAAGAAGAAUUAAUUUCUUUUCCUUCUUUCUGAAAGAAGGAUUUAACAAUAUUAAAUUAGAAACACUUUUUCAUAAAUUCUAUCCUAAAUUUGAGCAUAUCUGAUAGUUAUAAGUACUUAUAAGUUGUGGAUUGGAUAGUAAAUCGAGAAUCCUUUGAAAUCAAGAAAAAAUAUAUAAUAAAAUGAUAUUAUAUGCCCAUGCGAUAAGACUAACAAUUUAAAUAGUGCCACCUCAUACCUUGUAUGAUUCAAAUUAUGACAUCUCCUCAUCCAAAGUAGUAAGAGAAAUAAAUGAAGUAGACCUCAUAUGCCAAUGUAUCAUGACUUAAAUGGUUCAGGUCUAAGGUGUCAUGAUCAACUAAACAGUCUUACCAUGUGCCUACGGGACCAUCCUCUUCAAAAUGCAUAAAUAAAAACUAAAAGUUUGACCGGUUCAAAUUAUAAUUUAAGCCUUGUAAAAUAUGCACUAUUUUUAUAUAGGAUUUUGCUAUGUAGAAACUUGGGCAAAAGUGCCCUCACAAUAGGGGGCUAGCAAUUUUUUAUUGAGCGUGAGCCCCCUAUUGUGAGGGGGGACACCAAGAUGUCAAUUCCAAUGUACAAAUAGCAAAUCUCUUUUAUAUUAUUUUUGGAAUUUUUCUUUUGCAGUUAGAGGAAUCCAAAAACAGCUACCAUCCUUGACUCGCAAACUCUAUGGGGCCUAUCAACUUGGGUUCCAAGUUGUAAAAGAGCUAAAGAGGCACAAAGAACUUCAAAUAGAGUAGUUAAACUAGAAUCAAAUUUUAUUACCACUCAAAAGUGGAGCUUGGUUCAACAAGUGCUUGUUUGAAUCAGAUCUGUAUGGUCUAGGCUGGUUUCACAAUAGUACUUUGAACUUGGUAACAAUCAAUAAUCCUGAUGAUAUUGAUGUACAAACUAAAAUUCAAGAAGAAGCCCAACAGAAGAUGAUGGAAGCACUUCUUAAUUCCAAGGAUUCGGAUUCGGAUUUCCAAUUCAAAACACACAAGGAGGGGGGGGGGGGGGGGCANNNNNACAUCUCAAAAAAAAAAAAACAGAGGGGGGGGGGGGGGGGGGGGGGGAGCCUAGUGUUUGUCACAGAAGUUUGCUCCAAAGAUCUUCUAAACGAUAUUUUCUUGGCUCAGUUUCACGUUACCUUUCUCCACCGAACAACCAAUCCAAAACCAAUAUUUAUUUCGAUUGCUUUUCAAUUUCACCCAUAAAGUAGAAAAUAAUGAUUUUGACUUGUAGCCAUGGAGGCAAGAAGAAAAACCAAUGAAAAAGGCACAAGAGGAGAUCAAAAACACAAAGAAGCCACCGAUUUUUGGAAGCACAAAGCAGCCAUAUUUUUCCGGUCAAUUGGCAGCCAAGUUUUUCACUUUUCACACACAAAUCACUCAAAUGAAUGGCUAGGUCAAAGUAGGAGUGGGCAUUUUUUCCCGGAACCAGUGGAACCGGACCGGAACAGUUUAGAACCGGCCGGUUCGGUUCCGGAUCUUCUAAAAAAUAAUUUGGUUUCGGGAAAAAUUAUUAAAAACCGAUCGGUUCCAGUCCGGUUCUUGGUUCUAGUAUGGGAACCGCGGAGAAUCGAAUGGUUCUCAUAGAAUUUUUUUUAGUGGGCAUUUUUUCUUUUUUGGUAAAAUAUAAGACUUACUCUCAAAUUUGUCCCGAAACCAAAUUGGUAAUAUAUAUGACUUACUCUUAAAGUGAAAAGAAACUUCCAUCAAGGUAAAACAAAAUUAAAAAAAAAAAUUGUAGUAUAACAACAUAAGCAAAAGGCAGUGACAUAUGGAAAUGAAACAAAUGUUUAUGUAUAUAGUUCACAUAUCACUUUUUAAUUAAAUAAUUGAGAAAAAUACUGAAUUGUGAUUACCUGAAGGCUCAAGAAAAUGUUAAAAAGGGAUCCUUCAGUUGGCAUUUUUUUCAGUAAAAUAUAUGACUUACUCUCCAAGCACUUUUAUUUUGUUUUCAUUUUGAUGAAAGUUUGUUUAAUCAUUGAAGUACUAGACGGUUUAUAUAAGUUAAUAUUUGUUUGAUAAUAGUAACUUAUAUUAUUUGCAUAUUAUUUUAAAAUUUAUAUACUUAGUUUUCUAUUAAUCUUUGUAUAAUAUGUUCGGCUCUUCUAUAUUUUUUUUAAAGUAUCACAUUGAAAGUUUCUUUAGAUUUUUUAUUAGUAAACAUUUUAUUUUGACAUCUUUAUGUAAAGAACCGGACCGGACCGGACCGGAACCGAUUGGUUCGGUUUCGGUUCGGUUCCAUAGCUAACAAUGGAACCAAUGGUUCCAUUUCUAAAAUUCUCAUUGGUAUUCGGUUCGGUUCGAUUCCUUUUAGAACUGGACCAAAUCGGACCGCGCCCACUCCUAGGCCAAAGCUACAUAUUUGGGAAUAGGUUAGACUUUAAUUGGAUCAAUAAAAGGGUAAAAUGAGCCAAGAUCAAAAGCCAUCCAAUAAGUAAAUAUAUAUGGGCCAUAAGCAGUGUUAAUUUCUUAAACUACUUUCAACUAUCAACGUUGUUUUCUAAUCGAGCCUUUAGACUUGAUUGUUGGUAAUCAAUUCAUUAUUGGCCGAGGCUUGUGAAACUAUAUUUCGAUGUUUACAUCAUAACCCAAGAUUUAUUGGAUAUAAAAAAUUCAACAGUGUUGCCCGGCAUAAUGUGCCAUUAAUAAACAAUGUGGACGCGGAGAGGCAAAGAAGAGACACUACUAGAAAGGGAGGCAAUAGAGACGAAAUUUUAGCAACAAACAUCUUCCGUAGCUACUACCAACGGAUUAAUAACAAAUUCGCAACGAGUCAUUAUUUUAUCAUUUUUAAAAAUUAUCUAUUAAAUUAUUGACAAAAUUACCAAUGAAAGUCUUCCGUUGGUAAAAUUACGUUGCUAAUCCGUUGGUAAAAAUAUAAAAAAAUAAAAUAAAAUAAAAUAAUUUAUCAACGAAUUGUCCAACGGAUGAUUCCGUUGGAAACUAUAUAUAACAGACUAAAAUAAUUACCAAUAGAAAAAUUAAAUCCUAUAUCUAUUUACCCUUCUCUUAGAGGGGCUUUGAAAAAAAUUGUUGCUAUUUAGAUGAGGACCAAAUGAAACAUUCUGUUCACCGCCAAUAAGAACCCUUGCUCCUCAAAACUCCCCCCUCUCUCGACCACCGAAGAAAACCCUACCUCACUCAGAUUUUGAAACCGAAACCCGACCCGUCGAAGGAGAGAUCCGCCUGAAGCACACCAUUCUGUCCUAACGAGGCACUGAGUUUGUAUCAAAACAUUAUACGAGCUACCGACUUCUUCAUGUGGCCGAAAUCUCCAGGUGUCCUCUGGCGCGAUGUAUUGACAGAGAAUGCUCGAAAGGAGUUCGAAGACGCCCGAUUUGAGAAGGAUCUGGAAAUUGUCGCUCCUCUGAUGUUUGGAGGGCCGGAUGUCUGCAGUCAGCUGUUGAUAAGCUUGUCAAGAAGCAAAAGCAGCAAAUUUAGGAUGAAAGCAAUGAAUCAAAUCGACGUUGAAGUUUUUUGGUAAUAAUUGAAUUAAAUUUUGAUUAUUUUGUUGAUUAAUUUUAGUGUCGAUUGAUUUUAUAUUCUUUACCUUAUUUUAUCUGAAAAUAUAGAUGCAGUCAUUUGUAAUAUUUUAGUUGUGAAAAUUUAAGCCUUAUGCGAGAACGGUGGGAGUCCGGUUACAGAAUUGGGGAUUUUUUGGAAGAAUCAUUUUUUAUUUUUUACUUUUUUUAUUUGGUUUGUAAAUUUGAUAUUCUGUGCUAGUUGCUAUUCUAAAAUUUGCUCUGUUAUUUGCAUUUAUAUAUUUGUUCUCAUUGUCCUGAUCAUUUCUUAAGGGAUGAAUACUGUCCCACUUGUAGAAUAAGGAUAUAUUUGUGUUCGAUUAGAACAUCACAACUUAAUUAUGUAUUUGCUAGGCUUGGAAAUCUUGGGUUUUCCAAGCAUUUUUCAGACUUGUCGUUUCCUUCUCAAUGGUACAUACAUUUUUGGAAGUCCUGCUGCUAAUGAUUGACUGAAUUUGGAGGAUGAAAAAUCUGUCACUACCAGUGAUCUUUGAUAUACCGAUGUGUAGUUCGAGAGAAUGUAUUUAUAGCAUUAUAUAAACGCCUUUAUGUAUACAUAUGAAUUUAAUUCUUGUUUAUUAUAUAUAUGUUAUGGAAUAUGGAUGGAUCAUGCCAGAAUGGUAGUGUGGAUUUAUUCUUGCGAAACUAAAAUCUUGGGAAGACUCUUGGCAUCAGUUCAUUUUGUAAAGUUCAAAUUGCCGAACAUACAUUGACAGGGCACGGAGUUGCUGUCAAGAUCCUUAAUAAUACAUAAGAAACUGCUGCAACUUUAAGCUGUUGGUUCAAUGCUUUAGAAGGAGAGAAUUAUUCUUGAUGUCGUGUAGAUUUUACACCUUAAUGGAUGGAAGUUGAAUGCCCCAAAGGUAUCUCAGGUACAGUAAUCUGAGACAUGAGUGGACGAAGAGAGGAAUUUCAUUAAGGUUCAUUCACCAGAAUCAUUAACAUUCACUCACCAUUUGGUUGGUCCUUAGGGAUUGGCAAAACUCAGGUAAUAAUAAUGUUGGCUUCCAUGUCUGCAUAUGUUUAUUUUAUAUAUUAUUGACAACUAUUUUUCUCAAAAUUUAUUCUUAUCCUGUUUGCUGUAAGUUUCCCUAAUCCCUAGGUCCAUCAGUAGAAUGAUUGUAUUUUGAUUUUAUACAUUAGUUUUUGCUGGAGUUGCAUUCCACUUAAACUCAGAUAAAAUAUAUUCGUGGGGUUAUUGGUUUGGAAGGAUCAGUUUUUUGUUGUCCAAUCCUUCAUAAUAGAUUAUUGUGCAUUAAGCAAAUGAUGAGCUGGCAACAUAGGAAAAAUUUGAUGCCUUCAUCUUACUUUCUCAGAUCAGAUGAAGAACUAGAGAAACGAGAAAUUUAGGCCGUCUCGAGCAAGAUUUCUUUGAUAGGUUACUUUUAAGGCUGCUUAUCUUUACGUUGUCGAAUUACUUAUGAAUGUUACUGUCAGUUCAAUGUCAAACCUGCUCCAUGUUUCUACUGUAGGGAUUUGGAUGAUCAAUUUUUAGGCAGUUUUACGUAUCAAAAAAAAACUUCUUAGGCAGUUUUACCGUUCAAAAUUGGUUGUUGUGUAUUUGAGCUCAUAAUGACUUGGCAGCAUUGGACAACUUUGAUGCAUUCUCCUUACUUCUUUGAAUCAGAUGAAGAACUAGAGAAGCAAGAAAUUCUGGUCAUCCCAAUUAAAUACACCCCUACCUUACGGUGAUAAAACUAUAAUCCAUCUCCUUUGCAUCACAUUUUGUAGAAAGACCACCAUCCUAGUUCAGUCCCUUUUCUAUAUAAUUCUAAUAAUAUAUGUCUCAUGUUGAUGUUAUAAAGUUUUUUGAUGAUGAUUAAAAGAAACUUGAAAGUUUUUUUUAUCAAUAUCCGCUUCUCCAAUUCCUGCCACCAGUCUAGGUCAAGUGUACAAAGCUCGGUUGAAGUACUCUGGCCAGGUUGUUGCUGUGAAGGUGCAAAGACUUGGUAUUGAAGAAGAUUUAGGGCUGGACUUUUAUCUUACAAGAGGUUUAGGUUUCCUUAUAUAUAAGCCCUUGUUUGAUCCCCAUUCUUUGGAAAAAAUGAAUUCUUCAACAGUGUUUUGAUAUAAUUUUAACCAUACAUUUUUCAAUAAAAUAAUAUUACAAGCAAAUUCCAAACGUUUUAUUAUUUUUUAACCACACAUUUCACAUCAAUACACUAUUCAAAAAUUCAUUUUUCCCUUCAAUAUGAAAUUAUCUUCUUUAAAAUUAUGUGCACAAUAAUUGUAUAAAUAUUGUGACUUGUUUUACCUCAAAAGAUGAAAAAUAAGUUAGACAUAGUGUUAAUCAUCAUAGAGUCCAAUAGGGCAUAUAAAUACUUUCAUAUUUACUGGACUUCAACAAUUAAAAAUUGGGUUUAUUUAUUUACUUAAACUAUGUCUUUGAUGCAUUCCAUCACAUGCAAAUAAGAGGUGUUUUUUUUGUUUUUGUUUUUUUUAAUAAACCACAUUACUGUAUUUUAUUAAUAUAACGGCGAAAAAAGAUAGUACGAUUGGUAGAAGGAUAUUAACCAAAGAUCCAACAAAAGAAGAGAAAAGAUUUCCAUUCGGAGACGGAAAUAAAAUGAAACAUAAUAAGUAAGUCAAUGAAACUCAUGAGGGUGCAUCCCUAGUGUAGUUAUCAUAGAUCCUGUCUUCAUAGACAGAGGAGAUAUAGAAAGUGUAUCGUGCACGAUUCAUAAGAUUCUAUAGUAUAUUAUUUCAUGUAACCUGCCUCUCCCAUGACUUUUCGGACCAACCAACCAAGUCUUGUGCAAUACGUCUAUGUCAUAAUCAUUAUAAUGCUCUAGGUCACUAGCAGAGUGGAGGGCUCGCGUCUAGGGAAAGGGGCCAUUAGAUGGCAAGUGGAAAGGUGACUACGACAUAUCGCGUCUGGCUGAAUUUGCAAGCAAAUUUGUAUGCGCAUUGAGAAGCAGAAUUCUAUUAACUUCGAUAUUUGCUGUACAAUCACCUAAGGACAUAUCGUCAUGUCACUAAAAAUGUCUGAAAACCUUGUCUAUAGAGAUUUGGGACUCGAGAUGGUAGGCUCAAGUGAUGAGGACUUUUCAGACUGUUUAGAAUAGAUACCAAAUCAUUAAGAGCAAAUCGAAGGUAGGUUUCACCUUCAUUCGAUGUUGAAUUAAUCGAUUAGUGUAUGCUUGAGACCAACCUUUUCACCACCAGUAGUGUCCAUAAUAUCCUUGUCAAAGUAAUUUUAUAUGUUAAAUACAGACAAUUUUACACAUUGGUGAAUGUGGAACCCGAACUCAAAUUUUUUGCAUACUUUAAUGUCAUAUUGAAUUCUUUGACAAGAUUAAACUUUUAAACAAAUAGAUAUGCAAUUAUUUAUUUAUUUAAAUUAAAUCAUCAACAAACAUAUGGAAAUUAUUUUCCUAUCAUUGAUUGUUACUAUGUUGUUGUCUUGAAAUAUACGGUGGCCCAACUAAAAUGUUUGUUUUUUGGAUUGAUAGAGAAACAUCAGUCACUUGGCUCAUUCCGAUGACAGUCCUCGUAACCAUAGUUUUGGAAGAAGUGAUAGAGACAAGACACCUUUUUUAGCUUCGCACGAUGGUCGUGUUUUGUAAAUAUAAGUGAUUAAAUUUAUCAAUUUUGUUCAAUUCAAUAUUCGAAGCAUUUAUAAGUUUGAUAUCAUGUAUCCUCGAGUUGGCAUAGAAUUUUUCUCCACUAUGCAUUGAGAAAAAAACAAGUGAAGAGUUUGAUAGGAAUUUAAUUAUAAAUUUAGAUAUUUUUCAAUCAGUAAUUAUUGUUUAGUCAAAAAAAUUGAAGUUGAAACUUAAUAUUGAUUAGUGAACUGAUUCUUCUCAAGACGAUUUUGUCAAAUCACAUAAAUUUGUAUAUUUUUUUCUAUUAAAUUUUAUUCCAAUUAUAAUGUAGCAAUAAUAAAAUUCCUAUUUCUAUGAUACUAACAUGUGUAUUUUGUCAUGAAAAGAGAGCGUCUUAAGUAGGCUUUGGCACAUUCUCUUAGUAAACUAGCUAUCUGAACAAGUGUGUGUGAUAUGCUACUCCAUAUUAACCUCCUGAAUGGCGAUUUUUAUAACUAGACACUUUGAUUAAACAAUUAAUUUUCUUCUAUAAAUUUGUGUUCUCUUUCUUAGUUUUCCUUUUGUGCAUAUUAUCCAGUGUCGGCUGUUUUCUUGACAAUUUAUUAACAAAAAAAAAAAAAAAUUGACAAAUAACUACACAACAAUAUUUUUCUAAAAAAAUUGUAUUUUCUAAAAUUAAAACCAAUAUUUCUGAUAUUACAACAAAUCUCUACUAAACCUUGCAUCCUGCACUCAUCAUUAAUCUAAAAUCUUCAAAAUUUACAAAUCCAUCACCAUCUUUAUCUACCCCUUUGAUCAUUGAAUGACAGUCUCUAAGACUGCAUUUUCCACAUCCAAGACAUUUAAAAACCCUCUGCAAAUCUUCAGCAGAAAUUAAUCCAUUUUUAUCAGCAUCAAAUACACCAAAAGCUCCCAUUAUAUCAAUCCCAAUAGCAUCAUUAUCAAGUUCCAUGGCAUUCAAGAAUUCUUGUAAAUCAACAAAACCAUCUCCAUUAUUAUCCAUCUCUCUUACCAUUCCUUCGGCUUCUUUGUUGGCGAUUUUCUUGUCAUUUCCGAAGUUGAGCAGCACGUCUUCUAGCUCGAAACUUGAUAUGUUCCGGAUCCAAGAAGAAACCCUAAUCUCAUUAAGAUUUCAGAUGAUGAAAAUUAUAAUAUAAGAAUUAGCAAUGAAUAUAGAAAUAAAAGUAAAAAUAAGAAAUUUGUUGUAAAUGGUAAGUUUAUUGGUGAAUUGACAAUUGUAAUUCUAUAACCUUAAAAAUUAUUAUCAUUAUAUCCUUAAUCAUUCUCUAUAAAUAUGUUGCUUUGGUUAUCCAUAAAACACAUACAAGUCUAUUGACUCAUAUUUUCUCUUAUCUUUUUCUCUUUUUUUUUGUAACACGUUAUUAUCACGAAAACUUAAUUCUUCAAAAUCUAGUCAAAUAGUUGUUCAUAGGACAAAUAGGUAGGCCACUCCCUUCGUCGUCUUCAUGUAAAGCAAGGAAAAAGAAUUCCUAGGGCUAAACAAUGAGAUGCAAUUCACAUCAUGAAUGUGCAAAAAAUGUUGUUCAUCGGAGUCAAAUAUGUAAGUGACUCCCUCACCCUUAUGCAUAAUGGGGGAAAAAACCCAAAUUUUUGAAUACUCUUAAAGUCGUGACCCAACAGGCAAAACAUUAUUGCACGACUCUCCAUAAAUGGAUAUUGUGAGAAAGUAAGGAUGCGUUUGGUUUAAAAUUUUUAGAAAUUAUUUUAUGACAUUUAUUCAAUUAAUUUGAUUAUUUAGUAAAUCAUAAUAAUUUUAUACUAAUAUAUUACUAGAUAAUAUAUAUUUUAAACUUGGUGAAUUUUACUAGUGAAAUCUUGAAAAAGUGCAUAUAAUAGAUAUAAAACAAAUUCAACAUUAACUCCAUACAACCUUUCUCAUGAAUUUCAGAAUGUUUUAGAAUUUUUUAAAUAAAUGUUUUUAUAAUUAAAAUUUUACCUUCUAUAAUCCAAGAUAUACAAAAUGAGACUUAACAUGUCCUUGACUUGACGGGCCAUGUGCCUUAGGAUAUUCAAAAAAAUAUGACACCAUCUGGCGUGUCACAUACAUGCCCCAUCGCAUUCAAGUCGUAUCUUUGUUUAAAAUGCAUUGUACACUGCAACCUACCCUAGGGAGCUUUAGUGCUUCACAACCAUCUGCUGAUCGGCCAUUAACAUAUAUUUGGAUUCUUAACAGCAAAAAAUAGAAGUGCGUGUCUUUAUUUCUCUUGAAAUCAUUUAUUAAUCCAUUCAUAGAAGAGUCGUUGUCUUGAUACUCAGUACUGUAGUCAUUUUCAAGCCAUUGCUACAAUACAUGCAAGCCCUGGAUCCUGUACAGUGGUUUAGAGAUAAUUUUCCUUUUCAAACAUAUAUCAAAAUUUGCCUUGACAAAGUGCUUCGUCAUGCACACUGGCAAUCUUCCUAGUGUUCCAUCACAAAAAUCAAUUUAAGUUCAAAAUUGAAUCAUCCAUUCCUAGUCCAUUUUACAAUAUUCAGAACAAUGCUGAGAACAUCACAACAGCACGACAGCAUACAAUGAUCUCUAAUUAAAUAUUAAAAAAUAAUUUUUUAAUUAUAUCGUUGAGAAAAUGUCGUUGAUUCCAAAAACAAAGUGGAGGAUCGAUAAUUAUAUCAUUGAGAAAACUACAUAAAGAUAAUUAUAUCUUUUGAGAUCAUUAAUUGGAGGUCGCCAACUUAGAUCACAGGCUUUCUUGAUAAUGAUAGCCAUUGACCCCUGUCCACUUAUAUCUUUUUGUAUAUAAAUCGCCUAAAUUUUGAGCCAACUUUAGAUCAGGUGUGUAAAGAUGAGAAAAUUAAUAGUUCUCAAUCUAAACUAAUUCCAACGAAAGAUUAACACAGCCAUCAUGGAAAAUUUUCUUUUCUACUACAGUCUAACACUCUUUUUCACUACGAUUAUGAAAACUAAAAUAUGGCUAAAUAAUUUAAUUGAAAGCAAGUUAUAAAUUUACCUAUUUGAUGACUGGUUGCUCAUUGUUUCUGCACUUUCACUCUUCUCUCUGCUCAUUUUGAAGCUUAAUGUUACUCUCUCUCUCUCUCUCUCUCUCUCUCUAUAUAUAUAUAUAUAUAUAAAAGACAAGUCACUCCUACCUAGUCCACUUCAAAAAUUAUACUGCCAAAUUAACUUUGAAGUGCGGUCCAGAAACAUGUUUUUAAUCAAAUGCUCUACAGUCUCCACAUUUUUUUCCAUAAUGGAGACAAGUACUUCAUUGUAAGAUUCUUAUUUUUUAAUUAACAUUAUAAGAUUAUUGGUUUAUUUUGAAUAUAAUGAGACCAUUAUUGGUGAACAGGAUUUGACAUUUUUUAACUUUUAUGAAGGAUUUAACAAGAUACAGUCUUACAAUAAUGUUUAAUGUGUAUUAAGUCUUCAUUGCAUACAUUAUAUGAAGUCUUCCGUUAACUUUGUAAAUUUUGCACAUGUUUUAAUCAUAUAUUUAUGAGACCCAUAAUUUUUAUCAACUUUUCAACCUCAUAUUUCAUCAAAUUUUAUCAAAAUCUAGAUUUUUUUUGUUAAAAAAUUCAGGAAAUUGAGAGAGUCAUGACUUUAUUACAGCUCUAAAGAACCUUCUUUCUGAUAAAAACAGCAACUUUGCUUGGUUUACAUCCCCUCAGCCCCUCAUCAUGUGAGGGGCUGUACACCAUGUAGAAGAUGGAGAUAUCAAUUGGUACACGAUAGUUUCUCUGCGCAUGAUAAAAUAUCUUUUCCAUUGCAUUAGUGUCCUCAUUGCAGCCUCAAUUUUAUUUUUAUUUUUUUUUCAUUUAUAGAUGAUGGAUCUCUUAUUUUCGGUGGAAAUUAAUUUGAUUUUCUUCAAUUAUAAUUUAUGAAAGUAAUGUGAGUGCUUUACGGUUGUUAGUCUUUUUUAUUUAACAAGUAGUGAGCACAUGCGUUGCACGUCUUAUAUAUCGGAUAAAUGAUAUGCAUAAUCUUGUUAAAACACUAAAAUUAUUUGAGAAAGUACUAAUACUAUCUUAAUUAAUAAUUUUUCUAAAUUUAUAAGAGAUUUAUAAAUUUUUUGAAUUGUCUGAGCAAGAAUUGUUGUAUUUAAUAUAUAAAUUUGCAAUUUUGUAUCACAUACCUCGAGAUAGCCCAUUUCAAUUUUCCUCUAUUGCUUCGACAUUCAUGAUGUAAUUCCUCAAUUUCGUAUGUUUAGACAAUAUUCUUGUUACCAUCUUCGAGUGAAAAGACCCACAAAAUCUAUAAAAAUAUACGACAAAUUAUGAAGAAAAAUGAUAAUACACUUUAUUUCGUCAAUUUUGUAGCUUUCAAGCCUUGCUCUAUACACCAAGCUACACAUCACCACUACUAAUAACUUAAUAAACAUUCAAUUUUAAGAAAUCAUUUAACAUUUACACGAAUGAUGAUAGAAAUCUAAAAUAUAGAAUGAAAUUACAAAUCAAAACAUAUAAAGAUUUGAACAAAAAAAAAAAGAUUUAUUAAUUUAACGUAACAAAAUUCACAUCUGAUUAGUUUGAAUAUAAAUAUGCCAAAUCAAAUUUAGAUAGUAAAGUAUGUAUAAAUGUGAAUAUUAGAGUACAAAAAUCAAGAGGGCACAUAGAAUUAAUACAAAAAGGAUAUUCAAGAAGCUCACGAACAUUGUUGGCUGGAUUAAUCACAAUUCCAUGGAAGAAGACUUGUGGUUCACCAAUUAGAAUGUGGGUUUCAUGAUCGUGGAAAUUAAAGUUUAAGAUAAUUGAAUUAACGCUAUUAAUCAAAUUAAAAAAUAUAUUAUCUUUAAUUUCUAUAAAUGGUUAUUUAAGGUCAUCCUUUGAGCUCCUUAAACAAUAUCAUUUUUCUUUAAUUUUAUUUUGAAUUAUAUAUAUAUAUAUAUAUAUAUAUAUAUAUAUAUUUUUUUUUAUUUUAUUUUUUAUUUAUUUAUUUAUUUAUUUUUAUCUUGAAAGGGGAAUUUGAGGCCAUUAUUUGAGUUCCUUAAAUAACACCUAUUUUUUAAUUUCAUGUUGAAUAAAUUGAAUUAAUACCAUUUAUAAAAAUUAAUGUAAGAUUUAAAAAAUUAAUUUAGAAAAUUAUUAACCUACUUGGUAUAUGCACUUGGCAUAUAAAUCAACCUAACUUCUUCUUACGGUUCAUUGUGGUCAAAAGUAUUAGAAUCUUAAAAGGUUAAGAAUUUAGAUGCUAUAAAUGGAAGUUGGAGACCAACUUGAUGCGAUGCUCCUAAGUUGAAAACUUUCUAGAAUUAUUGAUAUAUAUUUAUUUAACUUAAUUAUGACCUAAUAUUUGCAUGCAAUUGUCUAAAUAAUUAUUAAAAGAUUAGGUAGACGUGUAUAGCGGAUCAAUUUUUCUCAAGCUAAACAGUCAGCUUAGAGUCUGAAAAUUUGAUUUUUGAGCCUUUGGAGAUUGCUUACCGAAAUGUCACUAAAAAAGCAUUGGUAUACGUAAACUCAUCAAAUCUAGAUUGUACGUAACCCUCCAUAGAGAAAAGACAAGUCCAUUAUAAGAAUUUGAGAAGUGAAAUAUACAAUACAUACCAACCUUGUAAUACAAGGUAGUGCACAUGAAAAAAACAAACACAAACACACAAAAAUGCUUUUGUUUGAGAUUAAUUUAAUUAGUUAAAAUUUGCAAUGGAACAACAAACAACGAUUUCAAACUCCAGUUUUUAUAUCAUCACAAAGAAAUCUCAAAUUAACAUGUCCUUCACUCCUUCAAUGGAUUUAAGAAGAAAACCCAUUAUCAGUAUCAUGAAUACAUAAAUCUUUAUUCAAUUCAAACCCCAUACAGUUACUUGAGAAAUAUAACAAUUGAACGGACCAAACUAUCAGAAGGCCGAUACAUUCUGCCGGUAAAAGAACAGUCCAGAUGGGGGCGCGGCCCACCCAUCCGACAGCAUUGCCAGCUUCAACAGACUAUCUGCACCCUCUUCAACAGUCAAUGAACCAGUAUUGGCAGUCAUAUCAGUUUUCACAUAUCCAGGACACACGCAGUUGAUGUAGAAAUCAGGGUAUUUUUUAGCAAUAAUCCUUGUAUAGGCAUUAAUGGCAGACUUCGACAAUCUGUAUGCAGGUACAUGUUCUGGCCAGCCAUUAACUUUUAAUGAGUUUUCUUUGAAGUCUUGAAGAAACUUGUUGAGCACAUUAUCUACCUUAUCUUCUGUGAGUUCUUCUGCAUUGCUU
rnacentral:lncRNA from 1 species